rnacentral:rRNA from 1 species
GGAAUCUUCGGCAAUGGGGGCAACCCUGACCGAGCAACGCCGCGUGAGUGAAGAAGGUUUUCGGAUCGUAAAGCUCUGUUGUAAGAGAAGAACGUGUGUGAGAGUGGAAAGUUCACACAGUGACGGUAACUUACCAGAAAGGGACGGCUAACUACGUGCCAGCAGCCGCGGUAAUACGUAGGUCCCGAGCGUUGUCCGGAUUUAUUGGGCGUAAAGCGAGCGCAGGCGGUUUAAUAAGUCUGAUGUGAAAGCCUUCGGCUUAACCGAAGAAGUGCAUCGGAAACUGGGAAACUUGAGUGCAGAAGAGGACAGUGGAACUCCAUGUGUAGCGGUGAAAUGCGUAGAUAUAUGGAAGAACACCAGUGGCGAAGGCGGCUGUCUGGUCUGUAACUGACGCUGAGGCUCGAAAGCAUGGGUAGCGAACA